GAACGCUGGCGGCAUGCCUUACACAUGCAAGUCGAACGGCAGCACGGGAGCAAUCCUGGUGGCGAGUGGCGAACGGGUGAGUAAUAUAUCGGAACGUGCCCAGUCGUGGGGGAUAACGUAGCGAAAGCUACGCUAAUACCGCAUACGAUCUAUGGAUGAAAGCGGGGGAUCGCAAGACCUCGCGCGAUUGGAGCGGCCGAUAUCAGAUUAGGUAGUUGGUGAGGUAAAGGCUCACCAAGCCGACGAUCUGUAGCUGGUCUGAGAGGACGACCAGCCACACUGGGACUGAGACACGGCCCAGACUCCUACGGGAGGCAGCAGUGGGGAAUUUUGGACAAUGGGCGAAAGCCUGAUCCAGCAAUGCCGCGUGCAGGAAGAAGGCCUUCGGGUUGUAAACUGCUUUUGUACGGAACGAAAAGGCUCUUUCUAAUAAAGAGGGCCCAUGACGGUACCGUAAGAAUAAGCACCGGCUAACUACGUG
rnacentral:rRNA from 1 species